GUGCUCACUUCGGCAGCACUUACACUAAAAGUGGAACAACACAGAGAAGAUUAGCAUGACUCCUGUGCAAGGAUGACAUACAAAUUCAUGAAGCAUUCCUUUUUUUU
rnacentral:snRNA from 1 species